rnacentral:rRNA from 1 species
AGUGAACGCUGGCGGUAGGCCUAACACAUGCAAGUCGAACGGCAGCACAGUAAGAGCUUGCUCUUACGGGUGGCGAGUGGAGGAAGGGUGAGGUAUACAUCGGAAUCUACUUUUUCGUGGGGGAUAACGUAGGGAAACUUACGCUAAUACCGCAUACGACCUACGGGUGAAAGCAGGGGCUCUUCGGACCUUGCGCGAUUGAAUGAGCCGAUGUCGGAUUAGCGAGUUGGCGGGGUAACGGCCCACCAAGGCGACGAUCCGUAGCUGGUCUGAGAGGAUGAUCAGCCACACUGGAACUGAGACACGGUCCAGACUCCUACGUGAGGCAGCAGUGGGGAAUAGUGGACAAUGGGCGCAAGCCUGAUCCAGCCAUACCGCGUUGGUGAAGAAGGCCUUCGGGUUGGAAAGCCCUUUUGUGGGGAAAGAAAAGCAGCAGGUUAAUACCCCGCUGUGCUGACGGUACCCAAAGAAGAAGCACCGGCUAACUUCGUG